GGAUUAGAUACCCUGGUAGUCCACACCGUAAACGCUGUCUACUAGCUGUUUGUGACUUUAAGUCGUGAGUAGCGAAGCUAACGCGCUAAGUAGACCGCCUGGGGAGUACGGCCGCAAGGUUAAAACUCAAAUGAAUUGACGGGGGCCCGCACAAGCGGUGGAGCAUGUGGUUUAAUUCGAUGCAACGCGAAGAACCUUACCUGGUCUUGACAUCCACAGAACUUUCUAGAGAUAGAUUGGUGCCUUCGGGAACUCUGACACAGGUGCUGCAUGGCUGUCGUCAGCUCGUGUUG
rnacentral:rRNA from 1 species